GACGAACGCUGGCGGCGUGCUUAACACAUGCAAGUCGAACGGAAAGGCCCUGCUUUUGUGGGGUGCUCGAGUGGCGAACGGGUGAGUAACACGUGAGUAACCUGCCCUUGACUUUGGGAUAACUUCAGGAAACUGGGGCUAAUACCGGAUAGGAGCUCCUGCUGCAUGGUGGGGGUUGGAAAGUUUCGGCGGUUGGGGAUGGACUCGCGGCUUAUCAGCUUGUUGGUGGGGUAGUGGCUUACCAAGGCUUUGACGGGUAGCCGGCCUGAGAGGGUGACCGGCCACAUGGGGACUGGGAUACGGCCCAGACUCCUACGGGAGGCAGCAGUGGGGAAUAUUGCACAAUGGGCGGAGGCCUGAUGCAGCAACGCCGCGUGCGGGAGGACGGCCUUCGGGUUGUAAACCGCUUUCGCCUGUGACGAAGCGUGAGUGACGGUAAUGGGUAAAGAAGCACCGGCUAACUACGG
rnacentral:rRNA from 1 species